rnacentral:rRNA from 1 species
CGUCUAAUACUGGAUAUGUCCCAUCACCGCAUGGUGUGUGGGUGGAAAGAUUUUUCGGUUGGGGAUGGGCUCGCGGCCUAUCAGCUUGUUGGUGAGGUAAUGGCUCACCAAGGCGUCGACGGGUAGCCGGCCUGAGAGGGUGACCGGCCACACUGGGACUGAGACACGGCCCAGACUCCUACGGGAGGCAGCAGUGGGGAAUAUUGCACAAUGGGCGCAAGCCUGAUGCAGCAACGCCGCGUGAGGGAUGACGGCCUUCGGGUUGUAAACCUCUUUUAGCAGGGAAGAAGCGAGAGUGACGGUACCUGCAGAAAAAGCACCGGCUAACUACGUGCCAGCAGCCGCGGUAAUACGUAGGGUGCAAGCGUUAUCCGGAAUUAUUGGGCGUAAAGAGCUCGUAGGCGGUUUGUCGCGUCUGCUGUGAAAUUCCGAGGCUCAACCUCGGGCUUGCAGUGGGUACGGGCAGACUAGAGUGCGGUAGGGGAGAUUGGAAUUCCUGGUGUAGCGGUGGAAUGCGCAGAUAUCAGGAGGAACACCGAUGGCGAAGGCAGAUCUCUGGGCCGUAACUGACGCUGAGGAGCGAAAGGGUGGGGAGCAAACAGGCUUAGAUACCCUGGUAGUCCACCCCGUAAACGUUGGGAACUAGUUGUGGGGUCCUUUCCACGGAUUCCGUGACGCAGCUAACGCAUUAAGUUCCCCGCCUGGGGAGUACGGCCGCAAGGCUAAAACUCAAAGGAAUUGACGGGGACCCGCACAAGCGGCGGAGCAUGCGGAUUAAUUCGAUGCAACGCGAAGAACCUUACCAAGGCUUGACAUACACGAGAACGGGCCAGAAAUGGUCAACUCUUUGGACACUCGUGAACAGGUGGUGCAUGGUUGUCGUCAGCUCGUGUCGUGAGAUGUUGGGUUAAGUCCCGCAACGAGCGCAACCCUCGUUCUAUGUUGCCAGCACGUAAUGGUGGGAACUCAUGGGAUACUGCCGGGGUCAACUCGGAGGAAGGUGGGGAUGACGUCAAAUCAUCAUGCCCCUUAUGUCUUGGGCUUCACGCAUGCUACAAUGGCCGGUACAAUGGGCUGCAAUACCGUGAGGUGGAGCGAAUCCCAAAAAGCCGGUCCCAGUUCGGAUUGAGGUCUGCAACUCGACCUCAUGAAGUCGGAGUCGCUAGUAAUCGCAGAUCAGC